rnacentral:rRNA from 1 species
CCGGGCAGGGGUCCAAAGUAUAAGGCAUUUAUACGGUGAAACUGCCGAAUGGCUCAUUAAAUCAGUUAUCGUUUAUUUGAUAGUACCUUACUACAUGGAUACCUGUGGUAAUUCUAGAGCUAAUACAUGCUAAAAACCUCGACUUCGGAAGGGGUGUAUUUAUUAGAUAAAAAACCAAUGCCCUUCGGGGCUCCUUGGUGAAUCAUAAUAACUUAACGAAUCGCAUGGCCUUGCGCCGGCGAUGGUUCAUUCAAAUUUCUGCCCUAUCAACUUUCGAUGGUAGGAUAGUGGCCUACCAUGGUGGCAACGGGUAACGGGGAAUUAGGGUUCGAUUCCGGAGAGGGAGCCUGAGAAACGGCUACCACAUCCAAGGAAGGCAGCAGGCGCGCAAAUUACCCAAUCCCGACACGGGGAGGUAGUGACAAUAAAUACUGAUACGGGGCUCUUUUGGGUCUCGUAAUUGGAAUGAGUACAAUCUAAAUCCCUUAACGAGGAACAAUUGGAGGGCAAGUCUGGUGCCAGCAGCCGCGGUAAUUCCAGCUCCAAUAGCGUAUAUUAAAGUUGUUGCAGUUAAAAAGCUCGUAGUUGAACCUUGGGUCUGGCUGGCCGGUCCGCCUCACCGCGAGUACUGGUCCGGCUGGACCUUUCCUUCUGGGGAACCUCAUGGCCUUCACUGGCUGUGGGGGGAACCAGGACUUUUACUGUGAAAAAAUUAGAGUGUUCAAAGCAGGCCUUUGCUCGAAUACAUUAGCAUGGAAUAAUAGAAUAGGACGUGCGGUUCUAUUUUGUUGGUUUCUAGGACCGCCGUAAUGAUUAAUAGGGAUAGUCGGGGGCGUCAGUAUUCAGCUGUCAGAGGUGAAAUUCUUGGAUUUGCUGAAGACUAACUACUGCGAAAGCAUUCGCCAAGGAUGUUUUCAUUAAUCAGGGAACGAAAGUUAGGGGAUCGAAGACGAUCAGAUACCGUCGUAGUCUUAACCAUAAACUAUGCCGACUAGGGAUCGGGCGGUGUUUCUAUGAUGACCCGCUCGGCACCUUACGAGAAAUCAAAGUUUUUGGGUUCUGGGGGGAGUAUGGUCGCAAGGCUGAAACUUAAAGAAAUUGACGGAAGGGCACCACAAGGCGUGGAGCCUGCGGCUUAAUUUGACUCAACACGGGGAAACUCACCAGGUCCAGACAAAAUAAGGAUUGACAGAUUGAGAGCUCUUUCUUGAUCUUUUGGAUGGUGGUGCAUGGCCGUUCUUAGUUGGUGGAGUGAUUUGUCUGCUUAAUUGCGAUAACGAACGAGACCUCGGCCCUUAAAUAGCCCGGUCCGCAUUUGCGGGCCGCUGGCUUCUUAGGGGGACUUAUCGGCUCAAAGGCCCCGGG